GACGAACCGUGCUAACGUUGUUCGGAAUCACUGGGCUUAAAGGGCGCGUAGGCGGGCCCGAAAGUCAGGGGUGAAAGCCCCCAGCUCAACUGGGGAAGUGCCUCUGAUACUUCGGGCCUCGAGGGAGGUAGGGGCGUGUGGAACUUCCGGUGGAGCGGUGAAAUGCGUAGAGAUCGGAAGGAACGCCGGUGGCGAAAGCGGCACGCUGGACCUCUUCUGACGCUGAGGCGCGAAAGCCAGGGGAGCAAACGGG
rnacentral:rRNA from 1 species